GACGAACGCUGGCGGCGUGCCUAAUACAUGCAAGUCGAGCGAACGGACGAGAAGCUUGCUUCUCUGAUGUUAGCGGCGGACGGGUGAGUAACACGUGGAUAACCUACCUAUAAGACUGGGAUAACUUCGGGAAACCGGAGCUAAUACCGGAUAAUAUUUUGAACCGCAUGGUUCAAAAGUGAAAGACGGUCUUGCUGUCACUUAUAGAUGGAUCCGCGCUGCAUUAGCUAGUUGGUAAGGUAACGGCUUACCAAGGCAACGAUGCAUAGCCGACCUGAGAGGGGGGUCGGCCCACAGGGAACUAGGAACCGGCCCCACCCCCAAGGGGGGGCAGCGGAGGGGAACUUGCGGAAAGGGGCGAAAGCCUGACGGGGCAACGCCGGGGGGGUGAGAAGGGUCUUCGAUUGGUAAACCUCUUUUUUUAGGGAAAAAAAAAUGUGAAAGUAACUGGGCAAAUCUUGCGGGUACCUAAGCAGAAAGCCACGGCUAACUACGG
rnacentral:rRNA from 1 species